GUAGCCGGCCUGAGAGGGCGACCGGCCACACUGGGACUGAAACACGGCCCAGACUCCUACGGGAGGCAGCAGUGGGGAAUAUUGCACAAUGGGCGAAAGCCUGAUGCAGCGACGCCGCGUGAGGGAUGACGGCCUUCGGGUUGUAAACCUCUUUCAGCAGGGAAGAAGCGAAAGUGACGGUACCUGCAGAAGAAGCGCCGGCUAACUACGUGCCAGCAGCCGCGGUAAUACGUAGGGCGCGAGCGUUGUCCGGAAUUAUUGGGCGUAAAGAGCUCGUAGGCGGCUUGUCACGUCGGUUGUGAAAGCCCGGGGCUUAACCCCGGGUCUGCAGUCGAUACGGGCAGGCUAGAGUUCGGUAGGGGAGAUCGGAAUUCCUGGUGUAGCGGUGAAAUGCGCAGAUAUCAGGAGGAACACCGGUGGCGAAGGCGGAUCUCUGGGCCGAUACUGACGCUGAGGACCGAAAGCGUGGGGAGCGAACAGGAUUAGAUACCCUGGUAGUCCACGCCGUAAACGGUGGGCACUAGGUGUGGGCGACAUUCCACGUCGUCCGUGCCGCAGCUAACGCAUUAAGUGCCCCGCCUGGGGAGUACGGCCGCAAGGCUAAAACUCAAAGGAAUUGACGGGGGCCCGCACAAGCGGCGGAGCAUGUGGCUUAAUUCGACGCAACGCGAAGAACCUUACCAAGGCUUGACAUACACCGGAAAGCAUCA
rnacentral:rRNA from 2 species